rnacentral:rRNA from 1 species
UAAGAAGGGGGCGAGCGUUGUUCGGAAUUACUGGGCGUAAAGGGCGCGUAGGCGGUCUUGUAAGUCAGAUGUGAAAGCCCCGGGCUCAACACGGGAAUAGCAUUUGAUACUGCGAGGCUUGAGUCCGGGAGAGGAUGGCGGAAUUCCCAGUGGAGAGGUGAAAUUCGUAGAUAUUGGGAAGAACACCGGUGGCGAAGGCGGCCAUCUGGACCGGUACUGACGCUGAGGCGCGAAAGCGUGGGGAGCAAACAGG